rnacentral:tRNA from 1 species
GGAGAGGUGGCAGAGUGGUCGAAUGCGGCGGUCUUGAAAACCGUUGAAUCGCAAGGUUCCGGGGGUUCGAAUCCCUCCCUCUCCGCCA